rnacentral:rRNA from 1 species
AAAGGGUCCGUAGGCGGACUUAUAAGUCAGUGGUGAAAGCCUGUCGCUUAACGAUAGAACUGCCAUUGAUACUGUAAGUCUUGAGUAUAUUUGAGGUAGCUGGAAUAAGUAGUGUAGCGGUGAAAAUGCAUAGAUAUUACUUAGAACACCAAUUGCGAAGGCAGGUUACCAAGAUAUAACUGACGCUGAGGGACGAAAGCGUGGGGAGCGAACAGGAUUAGAUACCCUGGUAG